CACGAAGGGUGCAAGCGUUACUCGGAAUUACUGGGCGUAAGCGUGCGUAGGUGGUGCGUUAAGUCUGUCGUGAAAGCCCCGGGCUCAACCUGGGAAUGGCGAUGGAUACUGGCUCGCUAGAGUGCGGUAGAGGAGAGUGGAAUUCCCGGUGUAGCAGUGAAAUGCGUAGAGAUCGGGAGGAACAUCAGUUGCGAAGGCGGCUCUCUGGACCAGCACUGACACUGAGGCACGAAAGCGUGGGGAGCAAACAGG
rnacentral:rRNA from 1 species